GAUGAACGCUGGCGGCGUGCCUAAUACAUGCAAGUCGAGCGAACGGACGAGAAGCUUGCUUUUCUGAUGUUAGCGGCGGACGGGUGAGUAACACGUGGAUAACCUACCUAUAAGACUGGGAUAACGUCGGGAAACCGGAGCUAAUACCGGAUAAUAUUGUGAACCGCAUGGUUCAAAAGUGAAAGACGGUCUUGCUGUCACUUAUAGAUGGAUCAGCGCUGCAUUAGCUAGUUGGUAAGGUAACGGCUUACCAAGGCAACGAUGAAUAGCCGACCUGAGAGGGUGAUCGGCCACACUGGAACUGAGACACGGUCCAGACUCCUACGGGAGGCAGCAGUAGGGAAUCUUCGGCAAUGGGCGAAAGCCUGACGGAGCAAUGCCGCGUGAGUGAUGAAGGUCUUCGGAUCGUAAAACUCUGUUAUUAGGGAAGAACAUAUGUGUAAGUAACUGUGCACAUCUUGACGGUACCUAAUCAGAAAGCCACGGCUAACUACGUG
rnacentral:rRNA from 1 species